UACGUAGGGGGCAAGCGUUAUCCGGAAUUAUUGGGCGUAAAGAGUGCGUAGGUGGUUUUGUAAGCGCGGGGUGAAAGGCUAUGGCUCAACCAUAGUAAGCCUUGCGAACUGCAAGACUUGAGUGCAGGAGAGGAAAGCGGAAUUCCUAGUGUAGCGGUGAAAUGCGUAGAUAUUAGGAGGAACACCAGUGGCGAAGGCGGCUUUCUGGACUGUAACUGACACUGAGGCACGAAAGCGUGGGGAGCAAACAGG
rnacentral:rRNA from 1 species